AUUGAACGCUGGCGGCAUGCUUUACACAUGCAAGUCGAACGGCAGCGCGGGCUUCGGCCUGGCGGCGAGUGGCGAACGGGUGAGUAAUGCAUCGGAACGUGCCCAGUAGUGGGGGAUAGCCCGGCGAAAGCCGGAUUAAUACCGCAUACGACCUGAGGGUGAAAGCGGGGGACCGAAAGGCCUCGCGCGAUUGGAGCGGCCGAUGUCGGAUUAGCUAGUUGGUGGGGUAAAGGCUUACCAAGGCGACGAUCCGUAGCUGGUCUGAGAGGACGACCAGUCACACUGGGACUGAGACACGGCCCAGACUCCUACGGGAGGCAGCAGUGGGGAAUUUUGGACAAUGGGGGCAACCCUGAUCCAGCCAUGCCGCGUGCGGGAAGAAGGCCUUCGGGUUGUAAACCGCUUUUGUUCGGGAAGAACUCCUCUGGGCUAAUACCCCGGGGGGAUGACGGUACCGGAAGAAUAAGCACCGGCUAACUACGUG
rnacentral:rRNA from 1 species